rnacentral:misc_RNA from 1 species
UACGUGGGGUGCAAGCGUUAUCCGGAUUCACUGGGCGUAAAGAGUUUCGUAGGCGGCCAAGUAAGUGGCGGGUUAAAUCCUAAGGCUCAACCUUAGACCUGCUCGUCAAACUGCUUAGCUAGAGUUAGUUCGGGGAUACUGGAAUUCUUGGUGGAGGGGUGAAAUCCGUUGAUAUCAAGAAGAACACCAUGGGCGAAGGCAGGUAUCUAGGACUCAACUGACGCUGAUGAACGAAAGCUAGGGUAGCGAACCGG